CACCUCAUUGUGAGUUGGAACAUUAGUGAAGCAGCAACAGCAGCCUGCUAGACCAAGCCAAGAGGACAGAGCUGGCAUAGACAUGUGCUGGCUUGAGGAGCCUACAGACUCACCAGAAAGCAUAAGGAAUCAUUUUCAGGAGCUGCAUUGGGACUGAAAAGUAGGAACUUCUCAAUUGGUUAAAAUCUCUUCAGCACUUUGAAGAUUCAUUUACAAAGAAUAAUGGAUACCACACACAUACAAAGAAGGCAGCGUUCAUGUCUGGUACAUGAGAAGACAACCCACUGUGGACAGAAUAUUUGAAGAAACAAUUAGGGAAGGCUGAAAGAAGCUGAGAAGUAGGACUUCCCUGUAGGAAGACCAGCAGUCUCAAUUAACCUGGAUCCCCGAGAUCUCUCAAACACUGAACUACCAAACAGUCAGCAUAUAUGAACUGAUAUGAAGCCCCAACACACAUACAGUAGAAGACUGCCAUGCCAGGAGCCUAUGCCUGCAUUCCCUGACACUGGGUGAGUCACUCAUUCUACAAAACUACUCCCACCCCAACACUACUUUCUGGUCAGCCAUAAAGAUGCUUGUCAACCUCCAUUGCUGAGCCUGCCUGCUGUCUAGGACUCUUUUUCUAAGUGCCACCAAAAAUUCUGUAUUUCCCCUUCAGAGGACAAAGCUGUCUCUUGGAUGCCGUUUGAUUGUUUCUCUGGUGAGCUAAAGGUUUGGAAGAAUAUAAAAGAGAGAUGUAGAUUUCACAUAAAUUCCUCUCUCGGGAAAAGGUCAUUGAG